rnacentral:rRNA from 1 species
GAUGAACGCUAGCGGCAGGCCUAAUACAUGCAAGUCGAGGGGCAGCGGGAGUAGCAAUACUUGCCGGCGACCGGCGCACGGGUGCGUAACACGUAUGUAACCUGCCCUCUACUCGGGGAUAACUUUAGGAAACUAGAGCUAAUAUCCGAUGGCACUGCGAGGUAACUUUACUUUGCAGUUAAAGAAAUUCGGUAGAGGAUGGGCAUGCGUCCGAUUAGCUAGUUGGUAGUGUAACGGACUACCAAGGCUACGAUCGGUAGGGGUUCUGAGAGGAAGAUCCCCCACACUGGUACUGAGAUACGGACCAGACUCCUACGGGAGGCAGCAGUAGGGAAUAUUGGUCAAUGGAGGCAACUCUGAACCAGCCAUGCCGCGUGCAGGAAGAAGGCCCUCUGGGUUGUAAACUGCUUUUUAUACAGGAAGAAAAUGCCCUUGCGAGGGUGACUGACGGUACUGUAUGAAUAAGUAUCGGCUAACUCCGUGCCAGCAGCCGCGGUAAUACGGAGGAUACGAGCGUUGUCCGGAAUUACUGGGUUUAAAGGGUGCGUAGGCGGUUAGAUAAGUCAGGGUUCAAAGGCUAUAGCUCAACUGUGGUUCGGCCUUGAUACUGUUUAACAUGAGUGCUAUGAAAGCAGACGGAAUUGGUAGAGUAGCGGUGAAAUGCUUAGAUACUACCAAGAACACCAAUAGCGAAGGCAGUCUGCUUUGUAGAAACUGACGCUGAGGCACGAAAGGCGUGGGUAGCAAACAGGAUUAGAUACCCUGGUA